rnacentral:rRNA from 1 species
CUUACCGGGUCCGGACACACUGAGGAUUGACAGGUAUUAUAUAGCGCGCUUGCGCGUCUAUUGUUAAAUAUGCUAGUCCUUUCAUGAUUAUGUGAUAGGUGGUGCAUGGCCGUUCUUAGUUCGUGGAGUGAUCUGUCUGCUUAAUUGCGUUUCAGAUAAGGAUCUAUAUUCUUUACAGAAGUGUUGCGUUGUGCAUUUGACCCCUCGUUCGCGA